rnacentral:rRNA from 1 species
GAUAACAGGCUGAUCUUCCCCAAGAGUCCAUAUCGACGGGAUGGUUUGGCACCUCGAUGUCGGCUCGUCGCAUCCUGGGGCUGGAGUCGGUCCCAAGGGUUGGGCUGUUCGCCCAUUAAAGCGGUACGCGAGCUGGGUUUAGAACGUCGUGAGACAGUUCGGUCCCUAUCCGCUGUGCGCGUAGGAAUAUUGAGAAGGGCUGUCCCUAGUACGAGAGGACCGGGACGGACGAACCUCUGGUGUGCCAGUUGUUCUGCCAAGGGCAUGGCUGGUUGGCUACGUUCGGGAGGGAUAACCGCUGAAAGCAUCUAAGCGGGAAGCCUGCUUCGAGAUGAGUAUUCCCACCUCCUUGAGAGGGUAAGGCUCCCAGUAGACGACUGGGUUGAUAGGCCGGAUAUGGAAGCCCUGUAAGGGGUGGAGUUGACCGGUACUAAUAGGCCGAGGGCUUGUCCUCAGUUG